CUAAGCUUCUCUUGUCAGAUCAUGCCACUGUGCUGAAACAAUGGUCUGGACAAGAUGCCUCAGAAGAGCUACAUGCUGCAGAUUUGGUUUUCAUGCUCAAACACAGCCUGCACAAACUGCUUGAAGACUCUGUCCAUUGAAUUCAGAUGACCAAAAGUAUUCAGAGGUGAAUGGCUAGUACAUUGUUCCACUGGGUAACCGAUAGCAGAACCCUUGAUUAAAGAAAAAUAAAGCGUGGAGAGCACAGGUGACCACAGAUAGCUCAUCAGCACAGGUAACCAGGCAGGCC